AUUGAACGCUGGCGGCAUGCCUUACACAUGCAAGUCGAACGGCAGCACGGGAGCAAUCCUGGUGGCGAGUGGCGAACGGGUGAGUAAUAUAUCGGAACGUGCCCAGUCGUGGGGGAUAACGCAGCGAAAGCUGUGCUAAUACCGCAUACGAUCUAUGGAUGAAAGCGGGGGAUCGCAAGACCUCGCGCGAUUGGAGCGGCCGAUAUCAGAUUAGCUAGUUGGUGAGGUAAAGGCUCACCAAGGCGACGAUCUGUAGCUGGUCUGAGAGGACGACCAGCCACACUGGAACUGCGACACGGUCCAGACUCCUACGGGAGGCAGCAGUGGGGAAUUUUGGACAAUGGGCGAAAGCCUGAUCCAGCAAUGCCGCGUGCAGGAUGAAGGCCUUCGGGUUGUAAACUGCUUUUGUACGGAACGAAACGGUGAGCUCUAAUACAGUCUGCUAAUGACGGUACCGUAAGAAUAAGCACCGGCUAACUACGUGCCAGCCGCCGCAGUAA
rnacentral:rRNA from 1 species